rnacentral:lncRNA from 1 species
UGGAUGCCAAGUUGUGUGGGUUUUAGUGCUGUGACGACACACCCGCCUCCUGUGGGCCUGACCAAAGCUGGCCGACCCCGAGUCGUGAGGUCGGACGCGCCUGACCCCUCACGGACGGUCUCCGUCCCGCUCGACCCCUCGCGGCAGGUCUCCGCCUCGCCCCACCGCAGGGUGAAGGUCUCCGUUUCGUCCGACCCCAGGUUGGAAGCUCCGUAUCGGCCGACCCCGACACCAGAGGUCGGAAAUUAGUGGGACCCCGAGGAUAAGGUUUGGCUCGCCCAAGGGUGUGUGCAGACCAACCAGGGAGACACCAGAU